rnacentral:rRNA from 1 species
AGAGGGCGACCGGCCACACUGGGACUGAGACACGGCCCAGACGCCUACGGGAGGCAGCAGUGGGGAAUAUUGCACAAUGGGCGAAAGCCUGAUGCAGCGACGCCGCGUGAGGGAUGACGGCCUUCGGGUUGUAAACCUCUUUCAGCAGGGAAGAAGCGAAAGUGACGGUACCUGCAGAAGAAGCACCGGCUAACUACGUGCCAGCAGCCGCGGUAAUACGUAGGGUGCGAGCGUUGUCCGGAAUUAUUGGGCGUAAAGAGCUUGUAGGCGGUUUGUCGCGUCUGCAGUGAAAAUCCGAGGCUCAACCUCGGACUUGCUGUGGGUACGGGCAGACUAGAGUAUGGUAGGGGAGACCGGAAUUCCUGGUGUAGCGGUGGAAUGCGCAGAUAUCAGGAGGAACACCGAUGGCGAAGGCAGGUCUCUGGGCCAUAACUGACGCUGAGAAGCGAAAGCAUGGGGAGCGAACUGGAUUAGAUACCCUGGUAGUCCAUGCCGUAAACGUUGGGCGCUAGGUGUGGGGCUCAUUCCACGAGCUCCGUGCCGCAGCUAACGCAUUAAGCGCCCCGCCUGGGGAGUACGGCCGCAAGGCUAAAACUCAAAGGAAUUGACGGGGGCCCGCACAAGCGGCGGAGCAUGCGGAUUAAUUCGAUGCAACGCGAAGAACCUUACCAAGGCUUGACAUAUACCGGAAACAUCCAGAGAUGGGUGCCCCGCAAGGUCGGUAUACAGGUGGUGCAUGGUUGUCGUCAGCUCGUGUCGUGAGAUGUUGGGUUAAGUCCCGCAACGAGCGCAACCCUCGUUCUAUGUUGCCAGCGCGUAGUGGCGGGGACUCAUAGGAGACUGCCGGGGUCAACUCGGAGGAAGGUGGGGAUUACGUCAAAUCAUCAUGCCCCUUAUGUCUUGGGCUUCACGCAUGCUACAAUGGCCGGUACAAAGGGCUGCGAUACCGCGAGGUGGAGCGAAUCCCAAAAAACCGGUCUCAGUUCGGAUUGGGGUCUGCAACUCGACCCCAUGAAGUCGGAGUCGCUAGUAAUCGCAGAUCAGCAACGCUGCGGUGAAUACGUUCCCGGGCCUUGUACACACCGCCCGUCAAGUCACGAAAGUCGGUAACACCCGAAGCCGGUGGCCCAACCCUUGUGGAGGGAGCCGUCGAAGGUGGGACUGGCGAUUGGGACUAAGUCGUAACAAGGUAGCCGUACCGGAAGGUGCGGCUG